UCAAAUAUAUAAUGGUUUCUCCUGUUCGCCAGUCGGCAUGAACACAUAAAUACUGUGGAUAUUACGUUACAUAACCGCAGUGAAAGAACGACACUAUGGAGAUGUUUGGACUGCAGUAUAAUGAGCAUGGUUGCCCCCAGUUCCUGUGGACUGGGACCAGCACAGGACCAAGACUGCCCGACCUCCUCCAGAGCAGUGCAUCCACUGCACAGUCAUCGUAAUGGACGUGGCACUAAGGAGGAUUGUCCAGCCGCAGAUGACGCUGAAGAACCGUUACAAGCCGCUAACACCAGUCUGCUUCAGCAGCUUGGUUGAAAUGGAGAUUGGAUGAUGCACUGUGCCCAACUAAUCAUACACGUGAUGCCUUGAGAGGUCGGGGUCAGAUUGUGAGUACUCCUCUGUUUUCCUGAUCCGAUGUGAGGUCAAAGGUCAGGGAUGUCUAUGUGUCCAGAUUGUAAUGCACUCUGAGACAAAUUUGUAAAUUGUGAAAAUGGGCUAUACAAAUAAACUGAAUUGAAUUGAGACGUCAGUGCACAACUCAAGACGACAAGCAUUUAUGCAUUUUACAUCGAA